rnacentral:rRNA from 1 species
UGGGGGAUAUUGCACAAUGGGCGAAAGCCUGAUGCAGCGACGCCGCGUGGGGGAUGAAGGCCUUCGGGUUGUAAACUUCUUUUGCUCUGAACAAGGCAUGCUAAUGGGUGUGUUGAGUGUAGGGGUUGAUUAGCGCCGGCUAACUACGUGCCAGCAGCCGCGGUAAUACGUAGGGCGCGAGCGUUGUCCGGAAUUAUUGGGCGUAAAGGGCUUGUAGGUGGCUGGUUGCGUCUGUCGUGAAAGCUCAUGGCUUAACUGUGGGUUUGCGGUGGGUACGGGCUGGCUUGGGUGCAGUAGGGGAGGCUGGAAUUCCUGGUGUAGCGGUGGAAUGCGCAGAUAUCAGGAGGAAUACCGGUGGCGAAGGCGGGUCUCUGGGCUGUUACUGACACUGAGGAGCGAAAGCAUGGGGAGCGAACAGG